GGAGGAUAUGUAUGUGGUCUGCAUAAACUAUACAAAUUUAACUACAUUUCCACAUCAUUACAAAGUUUAUUAAAUGAAACAACAAACUGUCUAGAGGCUCCAAUUAUUUCAGUUACGGUUAGCAUUCCAAACAAAUUACUGCUCUUAAAAGUUUGAAAAUGAAUUUACCAAUAAAUACUUAAAUAUUAGCAUAGCCUGUAAGCGUAAGAAUGGAGCAUAACUUAUCCACCGUACAUACUUUAAUUACUUAAUGCAUAAAUCCACUUCCCGUGCCAAAAUAUAGUUUGCUUGGAUAAACUUUUUAAAACUUUGUCAGCAUUAAGUGAAAAACUUACCUCGUACAAUUCAUCCAUGAAUAUUACAUACAUAUCCGGCCAACAGUUACAUGUUGCAUUUCUUGACAAUUGAAAUCCUCCUGGAAAGGAAUCGCAUUGUUUUUCGGUACGUUUUCAUAAAUACAUUUAAUCAGCCAUGGACAAACUUGAAAUUUUAUGCGUCGUCACAAUUUUGGCACUUUCUUGUGCCAAUUGCGAAGAAAAAAAUCCAAUCGAGCUAUUAAAAUUGUUUGAAGGGAUUGGAAACUGUGACCUUCAAAUUGUGCAUGGUGACCUGGAGUCUGCUAACAUCCAGCCAUUUCCCAACUUAUUACUCCCAACGUCUUUAAUUUUCGCGUCAAUUUUUGCAAGACAACGACCGUGGUUGGAUUAUGAAGAUUGGGACAGAUUUUCAAUCGAUACUUCAAACACACGAGUUUCUUAUUGCCAAUUAAGUGUAUUAUUCUCCUCCCAGUUUAUCGAGGAUGGCAAAGAAAUAAAGUUUUGGCAUUGGAUAAGGUUUGGUACGGAUAGGCAUUUCCGGUUUGGAAAAUUUGGGAAAGAGUGGUCCACCUCGACCAGCAAUACGUACGUCGUACUAGUUACAAACUACGAUAUGACAGAAUUUGCAAAAGUUUCACUUGAGAAAUACGUCUCGGUAUCCUCUAUCGAAAAUUUCGGAAUUGUCUUUAACCAAGGAACCAACAAUUUAUUAGAGGUAUGCGUCCUAAGAAGUGGAGUAAUGCCGGAAAUCCAAAAUUUUAACUGUAUGACAAACUUUCAGUCAAGUUUCCUAGAAAAAUUUCAUGCUUUGCAAACUAAACUACAAAACUGGGAACUAAAAAUUCUGGUCAAUACGGACAUAAGUCUGCCCAAAGAAUUCAAGGACGGGGAUACUGUGGAAUUCAUAAAAUAUCCUCAAUUCAUAAACCCCUUUGAUCGUGACGAUUUCAAGUCAUCAAUACAUCAACACAUUGCACAAUCUGUGUUUCGAAAAAGUAAUUCAACCCUGUCAUUUUGCCAACGUAAAUGUUCCUUAACGUAUCAUGGCAGCAUACAGUUUGACGGUAUGGGAAUGUUGCAUUUGUCCCCGACUAAAGUCUGGGUCACAGUUGGAUUUACGAGCUACCAGUUUUUAUCGUGUUACUCCGAGAAGGAAAUUACUUUUAGGUUUUACAUUGUCCCAUUUAAGCGGGAAGUUUGGUUCGGAAUAUUGUCUUGUGGGGUGAUGGUAUACCUCAUGAUGCAGUUCUUUGUCCGAUUUUUUACCAAAGUACGAGACGAAUUUCCAAUAUGGAUGACAGUUUUGGCAGGAAUAUUUGACACGUGGGGUCAUAUUCCGGAGAAAGUUGAGCAACGUAACGUUACUCGAUACCUGUUGGGAGGAUGGGCGUUGGCUUGUCUAGUUUUAACAAAUUUUUACAGCGGUUUGAUGAUAUCCGAAUUGAAUUCACCCAUGGCAAGAAACCGACCGGAAAUAUUUUCCGAUUUAGUAUGCAGUCUAGAAGAUGCACAACUAUUUCAUAGCGAAGGACGAAAAAACCUCGGUGAAAAAAUUUCGACCAAAAUGAACGAAACACUCACCUACUUGGAUGACUUCAAGUUGAAAUUAUUUUACAACAUUUUGCAAUUUCCAGUGCCACCAGAGUUAACCAACAUACCAUUUCUCGAAGAAGCUUCAUGCUUUAGAUUGUUGUCCCCUGUUCGGCAUGGUCGUUUAAAGGGCAGCAUUGUUUUCGACUUUGAAGACUACUUAUACUCGUGGUAUUACCAAUUUAGGGAAAUUGUGACGUUCAAUCCGUUAAGCGCCUCGAGCAGUCAAGUCCUUUUAAACCUGUUUCACCCAAGACACGCAAGAAGACCGAGAAUUGUGGGGGGUCACCUUCCAGAUAUUCGAUACGCUAUGGAAAAAGAAAUUACGUCAUGUGCUAAAACUGCAUUUAUCGGGGAAUCGUUCUUAAUUGCUGCAGAGAUCGAGUACCUUCGGAAAAAAUAUUUCUGGACUAAAUUUCAUAAAGGGAGAGACACCUUGAUAGGAGAUCUGAUUGGAUGGGUGAUCGAAAAAGAGGGAAGAAUGCAGUCAGUGUCGAGAAGUUAUAGGGCUCUAAUUGAGUCCGGAAUUUAUGAAAGGCUUCGAGUUGAAAUUACGGCUAGGAAAAUGAAGGGAAGAAAGCAAACGAGUGAAAGUAUCGUGGCAGGGAAAUAUUUGGAAUUAAUUGUGAUGAACGGGGGAAUAUUGACAUUAUUUAUUAUGACAUUUUUCAUAGAUUUGGUAGCAUUUGUAUGCUUUCUCUCCGAGUUUCACAGCCUGGUUGGACAGAAAAUUGUACCCGUAAUUAUGGGCUUGGCUAGAUUAAUUUCUUUAUCUUGGACUGUUGUGAUAAAUGUAAAAUGGAAUCUGGGACUUUUUGAGAGAUGCAAAGAUGAGAUGAGAUGAGUACAGAGAGAUGCAAAAUGUAAUGCAUUUUAUGGGCUUUAUAUUUAAGUUAUCAAAUGUGGAGUAUGUACUUAUGAAGUUUAUUAAGCUGGAAUUAGAUGUGUGUAAAAAAUGAAUUUUUACAUUCAACAAGUAAUAUUGUGCUAAAUAAGCUGUGUAUGUACCUAAUAUGACGUUUGUAUUUGUGUUGAUAUUAAUAGAUGAUUACCUUUGUAUUUCUAGAAAACAUACUUAAACGGCUAAAUACGAAUUUGACAUACGACAUACAAAUACAUAAAUACAUAAUUAUUAUAAUGUAAUAACGCAGUCUAUAUAUUUAAUGUCCCCAUUUUUAAUAGGGGAAUUUGAUUUUGCGAACAAUAAAAAAUAUACAUAUACUGUCAAAUGUGAAUUUGAAAAUUCUCAGGAUAGACUUUAUAAAAAGAGUUACAGUAUAAAUCGAAAGCUUGUGUACAUUGAUGAAUAUUUACAUGUGUUCAUGUGCAUAUACGAACUGUGUAAUUGCAUACUUACAUAAGUACGUAUCGUCAGAGGUUAAAAGUAAGUUCUAGGUCAAUUCCCCAGGUAUAGAUGCAUAUGUUAUCAGGCGAGGGCUACAUACAUAAAUUAUACGUAGAAUUGAGCAAAAAAAUAAAAUCAAAAAUUGGAAAUCGUUCUCUACUUGGACUGCAUGCGCUCACUAUUUCUUGCGCUUUUCUGCGGUUUAUGUAUUUUUUAUAAACAGGAAAGUAUAUCCUGGCUAAUAUAAUUUGAUUACAUCGAUUUAUUCCCGUUCCUAAUUAUGUAUAAAUAUUUGAUAAAAUUGACGUGUGUGAAAUAUCUGCUUUUUCUUCCACUGAAAUAUCAUCGUAUUUUUCCAGUCUGUCGAAAAGCUAUUCAAACAGUACUUUUUCGACGUCAUACACAUAUUAAGUUUUUGUGAACAAAGUAAUUAGCGUUAUCAGUUAUUCGUCUUUGUGCCGUUUGUACUACAUACGGUGAUUUGAUAAGAAUCUAAUUUACUUUCAAUUCAGGUUGAACUUGUUAAUCACAAUUGCUAUUUUCGUGGAGAAAAGUUAUUAAAUAUAACAUGCCGACGGGGAAUACGGACAUAUUUGUAUGUACCAAAAUUGCCAGCGUAACAUGUGCCCAGAUAAGAAAAUACGCUCAAAGUCGUUAAAAAUGCAGAUUUCAAAUUUAACAAAGAUAAUUCCAUCCCUGGGGCCAUUCCUUGCACUUCAGCGCUUCACAAUUCUUGCUGAAUAUUUGUACCAUCAGCAAAUAAGUUGGAGCAGGGAAUCAUGGAUACCACGCCCUACGAAGAGACGACUUUUAUAUAAAUGGUACUCCUUGUCCUUCCUACUUCUCGUGACCGCGGUGAUUUUGGGGUACAUGGGAUUUGGAGAAUUUCUAAUUUCAGGCCAAGAAAAUAUGACGAUGGGAUCUAGGGUCAUGCUAGCCUUAUUCAUUUUGGGGGACGUGACGGGGACGGGGCUCAUAUUUUCUUAUGUCGGCAAGGUGGACGAAAUCUGCUACAUCAUUGCAAGCGUGCAAAACUUAUCGGGAAUGAUUCAGCGUGGCUCCAGCACAACUAGAGUCGGAAUUGUUCUUCAUGGCUUUAUCACGGGACUCAUUGUUUUUCCAAUGUGUGUCUGCUUCAUCCCCCUACUUGAAUAUAAAAUGGAUCCGACGUACUUCUGGUUUCGAAAUAUUACGUUUCUGCCAUACAGUGCUGAAAUUCUUAUUCGAAUUCUAAUCAUAUUUUUUGUCGUACUUCACGGAUCUGUGCUAAUUUACAGCAGCUCGAUUUACCUAAUUUGGGCAGUGCUAUGCUUUAAUGAUUGUUUGAAUAACGCGAAUCUCUUAGGAAUUACAAACACUGCAGAUUUAAAAAGUGUUCAUGAUGUGUUCCUCCGUCUUAAGGUUGUCAGAAGGAUCGCGAAAGUUUUUACCAAGUUUUCCUCUAGUUUGAGAAAAUAUCGCCAACUACAAAUAGUUACGGCACUCGUGAAUAACUUGCUGAAAAACGUAAUCCUCGUCUUGGUGGGGAUAAUGAUGAUUGGCAGUAUAGUAUCGGGCUACAUUUUGAUAAAACUGCGACGUCAAGCACCAUAUUCGCUGAUAUUUUUUGCCGUAUUUACACUGACGCUGAUCGUAGUUUCGAUUCAUCUCCUAUUCCCCCUGGUUAUAGAUGCAACAAAGAAGUCGAAUAUUUUUAUUAGAUUUUGGCAACUACAAAAUAUAUCUGACUAUAGGAAAAAACAACUUAAGAGUUGUAGAUUAUUGGAGUUCAGGGUGGGGUCCUUCCACGUUGUUGAUGGUAGUUCAAGGGCUAAUUUGAUGUACGUCAUUGUCUAUUAUACGGUGACAUUUGUAAUCUCGAAAGAUUAAAAGUUUGACCAAUUUUCACCACUUGUAAAUAAAUAUAUGUAAUUGAUUUUUCAUGAUUUGAAAGCUUUAUAGCGAACGUUAAAUUUACAUGAUUUUUAAUGCUCAUAUAAUUUGCAUAGAGUAAAUAUUUUCCUGGCGCGGGUAGAACCGAGUAGCACGUGCAAGCAACUCUCACUUCGCUCGUUUUAUUUUCCUUCGCCCACCGGUUUUGCUACUUCUUGUGUAAAAAUUAAAUAAAAACGAAGGAUUUAACAAAAAAUUUUGUGGAAAG